rnacentral:rRNA from 1 species
GACGAACGCUGGCGGCGUGCUUAACACAUGCAAGUCGAACGGAAAGGCCCUGCUUUUGUGGGGUGCUCGAGUGGCGAACGGGUGAGUAACACGUGAGUAACCUGCCCUUGACUUUGGGAUAACUUCAGGAAACUGGGGCUAAUACCGGAUAGGAGCUCCUGCUGCAUGGUGGGGGUUGGAAAGUUUCGGCGGUUGGGGAUGGACUCGCGGCUUAUCAGCUUGUUGGUGGGGUAGUGGCUUACCAAGGCUUUGACGGGUAGCCGGCCUGAGAGGGUGACCGGCCACAUUGGGACUGAGAUACGGCCCAGACUCCGACGGGAGGCAGCAGUGGGGAAUAUUGCACAAUGGGCGGAAGCCUGAUGCAGCAACGCCGCGUGCGGGAUGACGGCCUUCGGGUUGUAAACCGCUUUCGCCUGUGACGAAGCGUGAGGGACAGAAAUGGGGAAAGAAGCACCGGCGAACUACGU